rnacentral:rRNA from 1 species
GAUUAAGCCAUGCAUGUCUAAGUAUAAGCACUUUAUACCGCGAAACUGCGAAUGGCUCAUUAAAUCAGUUAUCGUUUAUUUGAUAGUACCUUUACCUGGAUAACCGUGGUAAUUCUAGAGCUAAUACAUGCUAAAAACCCCGACUUCGGAAGGGGUGUAUUUAUUAGAUAAAAAACCAAUGCCCUUCGGGGCUCCUUGGUGAUUCAUAAUAACUUAACGAAUCGCAUGGCCUUGCGCCGGCGAUGGUUCAUUCAAAUUUCUGCCCUAUCAACUUUCGAUUGUAAGAUAGAGGCUUACAAUGGUCUUAACGGGUAACGGGGAAUUAGGGUUCUAUUCCGGAGAGGGAGCCUGAGAAACGGCUACCACAUCCAAGGAAGGCAGCAGGCGCGCAAAUUACCCAAUCCCGACACGGGGAGGUAGUGACAAUAAAUACUGAUACGGGGCUCUUUCGGGUCUCGUAAUUGGAAUGAGUACAAUCUAAAUCCCUUAACGAGGAACAAUUGGAGGGCAAGUCUGGUG